ACGGGUGAGUAACACGUGGGCAACCUGCCCUUGAGACUGGGAUAACUUCGGGAAACCGGAGCUAAUACCGGAUAAUAUAAGGAACCUCCUGGUUCCUUGUUGAAAGAUGGUUUCGGCUAUCACUUAAGGAUGGGCCCGCGGCGCAUUAGCUAGUUGGUGAGGUAACGGCUCACCAAGGCGACGAUGCGUAGCCGACCUGAGAGGGUGAUCGGCCACACUGGGACUGAGACACGGCCCAGACUCCUACGGGAGGCAGCAGUAGGGAAUCUUCCACAAUGGACGAAAGUCUGAUGGAGCAACGCCGCGUGAGUGAUGAAGGCCUUCGGGUCGUAAAGCUCUGUUGUUAGGGAAGAACAAGUGCGAGAGUAACUGCUCGCACCUUGACGGUACCUAACCAGAAAGCCACGGCUAACUACGUGCCAGCAGCCGCGGUAAUACGUAGGUGGCAAGCGUUAUCCGGAAUUAUUGGGCGUAAAGCGCGCGCAGGUGGUUUCUUAAGUCUGAUGUGAAAGCCCACGGCUCAACCGUGGAGGGUCAUUGGAAACUGGGGAACUUGAGUGCAGAAGAGGAAAGUGGAAUUCCAAGU
rnacentral:rRNA from 1 species